rnacentral:rRNA from 1 species
CUACGGGAGGCUCCAGUGGGGAAUUUUGCGCAAUGGGCGAAAGCCUGACGCAGCAACGCCGCGUGCGGGAUGAAGGCCUUCGGGUCGUAAACCGCUGUCAAGUGGGAAGAACCCUGACGGUACCACUGAAGGAAGCCCCGGCUAACUUCGUGCCAGCAGCCGCGGUAAUACGAAGGGGGCAAGCGUUGUUCGGAAUCAUUGGGCGUAAAGCGUAUGUAGGCGGCUGGAUAAGUCGGGCGUGCAAGCCCGCGGCUCAACCGCGGAAUUGCGCUCGAAACUGUCCGGCUUGAGUGCAGAGAGGAAAGCGGAAUUCCCAGUGUAGCGGUGAAAUGCGUUGAUAUUGGGAAGAACACCAGUGGCGAAGGCGGCUUUCUGGCCUGCAACUGACGCUGAGAUACGAAAGCCAGGGGAGCGAACGGGAUUAGAUACCCCAGUAGUC